AAUAAAGUGCCUGACAAAAGGAAUAUUUUGAUAGAAUAGAUAAUGUGGUAUAUCUACCACCUUUAUUA
rnacentral:tRNA from 1 species